AUAAAUUUUUUUUAAAGUUCAUUGGGUAUUUAUUUUUAAAACUUUGUGGAAAUAAGUGAAAUAUAGUUCAUAAAGAGAGGGAACUUGAAAAUCUAGGCACUUGACUUGGAUUACGGUCUUUAGUCAUUCAUUCUUUCUUCAAUAUUGCUUUAGGAAGUAUCCACAAGCCUCAGAGCCAAUCAGAUCAUCACACCGAGGAAGAACUAGACUAGCGAUUCUUCAUCAUGAUCUUUAAAGAGCAGCCAUACUGACACCAUAAGAGUUCCAAGAUAGUGCCUGCAUCUUAUAGAUGUUGCCUGCAUCCUUUGACUAAUGGCUCUCUCUCCCCCAUCUUCAAAGUGCAUCAUCAUCACACCUUUUUCUGGCUUCGUCAUCACAUCUGUUUCUGAUUUUGAUCCUCUUGCUUCCCUCUCAUAAGGGCCCUUAUGAUAACAUUGUGACCACCUGCAUAACCAAAUAACCUUCCUUCUCAAGAUCCUUCACCACAUCUGCAAAGUCCCUUGCCACUGAAGCAAGGAACCCUCUCAAACCCUGUUACAGUCUGAAUAUGGACACAUACUGUGACAGCACCCAGGCACGUGGAAAGAGAUUCAAAGCAAAGUCCUGAAUGGCAAGAUCUCCCUUCUCCCAUUAGGUAAGGAUCCUCCUAUUUGUACUACUUUCCUUCCAGUCGUGCAUGUGGUAAAGGCUUCUGAUUCCUGAGAGAAAAUGGAAAAUUUCUCUUGCAUUAUGGUUAGUCUUUAGGAGGAGAAGCUUGCUUGUGGAAGAUGGCUUUCUUAUUUCAAUUUGGCAGUUUUCCCUAACAUAAACACAUAAGAUAAAAUCAGCCAAGCUGUCAGGGGGCUUCCUCCUGGAGGCAGGGUCCUGAAGUCCUAGCAGGUGGCUCAAUUUCUAUGCCUUACAUUAGGGAAAUGGUUCUCAGCACAACCUGCACUUUGAGAUCAUAUGAGAGACUUAAGAACAAACUAUCCUGGCUGGAUAUGGUGGCUCGCAUCUGUAAUUCCAGGGCUUUAGGAGGCCAAGGUGGGAGGAUUUCUGGAGCCCAGAAGUUUGAGACCAGCCUCAGCAGCAGAGUGAGAAGCCAUCUCUAGCAAAUUUUAAAAUUAGCUGAGCAUGGUGGUGCAUGUCUGUAGUCCUAGCUACUU